GAUGAUUUGACGGCCGCAUCUCGCGUGGCACUUUGUUUUUUUCUCUACGCAAUCGUCGGUCGGUAGUUUCUCAAGUGUUUUUUUUUUAAAGAAAUCGUUCGAAGUGUUCGGAGAUGGACGCAAUGCAAAAAACCAACACUGUGAGUUGCACAGGAUGCGGUAGUGAAUGCAUGCCGGGAGCGGCAACCGAAUGCCGGAUUGUUGGCCUCAGACCUUUCCAAGCGAAAAAUCCAUUAGUGUGAGUAAAGGGUUAUGAUUCUUUGAAUAAAUAAUAAAUAAUAAAUAUAAAUUCA